GGAUUAGAUACCCUGGUAGUCCACGCCGUAAACGAUGAGUGCUAGGCGUCGGGCAGCAUGCUGUUCGGUGCCGCAGCUAACGCAUUAAGCACUCCGCCUGGGGAGUACGGCCGCAAGGUUAAAACUCAAAGAAAUUGACGGGGGCCCGCACAAGCGGUGGAGCAUGUGGUUUAAUUCGAGGCAACGCGAAGAACCUUACCAGCCCUUGACAUCCCGGUCGCGGUUACCAGAGAUGGUUUCCUUCAGUUCGGCUGGACCGGUGACAGGUGCUGCAUGGUUGUCGUCAGCUCGUGCCG
rnacentral:rRNA from 1 species